rnacentral:rRNA from 1 species
CCGUGCCAGCAGCCGCGGUAUACGGAGGAGGCAAGCGUUAUCCGGAAUUAUUGGGCGUAAAGCGUCCGCAGGGGGCACUUCAAGUCUGCUGUCAAAGGUCGGAGCUUAACUCCGGUUCGGCAGUGGAAACUGGAGCGCUAGAGGGCGACAGGGGUAGAGGGAAUUCCCAGUGUAGCGGUGAAAUGCGUAGAGAUUGGGAAGAACACCGGUGGCGAAAGCGCUCUACUGGGUCGCACCUGACCCUCAGGGACGAAAGCUAAGGUAGCGAAAGGGAUUAGAUACCCCUGUAGUCUUAGCCGUAAACGAUGGAUACUAGGCGUGGUUUGUAUCGACCCAAGCCGUGCCGAAGCUAACGCGUUAAGUAUCCCGCCUGGGGAGUACGCACGCAAGUGUGAAACUCAAAGGAAUUGACGGGGGCCCGCACAAGCGGUGGAGGAUGUGGUUUAAUUCGAUGCAACGCGAAGAACCUUACCAGGGCUUGACAUCCCGCGAAUCUUGCUGAAAGGCGAGAGUGCCUUCAGGAGCGCGGAGACAGGUGGUGCAUGGCUGCCGUCAGCUCGUGUCGUGAGAUGUUGGGUUAAGUCCCGCAACGAGCGCAACCCUCGUCCUUAGUUGCCAGCAUUAAGUUGGGCACUCUAGGGAGACUGCCGGUGACAAACCGGAGGAAGGUGAGGAUGACGUCAAGUCAGCAUGCCCCUUAUGCUCUGGGCAACACACGUCCUACAAUGGUCGGGACAAAGGGGAGCAAGCUCGCGAGAGUAAGCGAAUCCCAGCAAGCUCGGCCUCAGUUCAGAUUGCAGGCUGCAACUCGCCUGCAUGAAGGAGGAAUCGCUAGUAAUC